rnacentral:rRNA from 1 species
GGCGAACGCUGGCGGCGUGCCUAACACAUGCAAGUCGAGCGAGGAGAGUUCCUUCGGGAACAAACCUAGCGGCGGACGGGUGAGUAACACGUGGGCAACCUACCUUGUAGAGGGAAUAGCCUUCCGAAAAGGAAGAUUAAUACCGCAUAACAUUACAGUUUCGCAUGAAACAGUAAUUAAAGGAGCAAUCCGCUACAAGAUGGGCCCGCGGCGCAUUAGCUAGUUGGUGAGGUAACGGCUCACCAAGGCGACGAUGCGUAGCCGACCUGAGAGGGUGAUCGGCCACAUUGGGACUGAGACACGGCCCAGACUCCUACGGGAGGCAGCAGUGGGGAAUAUUGCACAAUGGGGGAAACCCUGAUGCAGCAACGCCGCGUGAGUGAUGAAGGUUUUCGGAUCGUAAAGCUCUGUCUUCGGGGACGAUAAUGACGGUACCCGAGGAGGAAGCCACGGCUAACUACGU